GAACGCUGGCGGCAAGCCUAACACAUGCAAGUCGAACGGGGUUAUAUAUAGCUUGCUAUAGUGUAGCCUAGUGGCAGACGGGUGAGUAAUGUAUAGGAAUCUACCUAGUAGUACGGAAUAAUUACUGGAAACGGCAACUAAUACCGUAUACGCCCUAUGGGGGAAAGAUUUAUUGCUAUUAGAUGAGCCUAUAUUAGAUUAGCUAGUUGGUAGGGUAAUGGCCUACCAAGGCUAUGAUCUAUAGCUGAUCUGAGAGGAUGAUCAGCCACACUGGAACUGAGAUACGGUC
rnacentral:rRNA from 1 species